CCGUAAGGACGGCCUUACGCUUUUCACAAACGGGGACGGCCCCA
rfam:Burkholderia sp. Bk sc_002, whole genome shotgun sequence.